rnacentral:ncRNA from 1 species
AGGAAAGUAAAAACACGAUUCAGUUGGUAGUCCGAAUAUAUAAUCUUAACUUUAUAUCAGUAACCUUCCUCCUAGGAUGUCCGUCUUUCCUGAUAAUU